GGAGGGAGCUAGCGUUGUUCGGAAUUACUGGGCGUAAAGGGCGUGUAGGCGGUUUUUAAGUUAGGCGUGAAAGCCCUGGGCUCAACCCAGGAACUGCGCUUAAUACUGGAGAACUUGAGAUCGGUAGAGGGAAGUGGAAUUCCUAGUGUAGAGGUGAAAUUCGUAGAUAUUAGGAGGAACACCAGAGGCGAAGGCGACUUCCUGGACCGAUACUGACGCUGAGGCGCGAAAGCGUGGGGAGCAAACAGGAUUAGAUACCCUGGGUAGUCCACGCUGUAAACGAUGAGUGCUAGACGUCGGGGGUUUAACCCUUCGGUGUCGCAGCUAACGCGUUAAGCAUUCCGCCUGGGGAGUACGGUCGCAAGAUUA
rnacentral:rRNA from 1 species